rnacentral:rRNA from 1 species
UUAUGAAUUAAAUUAUUAUUAUUAUUUAUUUAAAAUAUUAUUAUAUUUAUUAUUAAAUAAGAAAAAUUUGAUUUUAUUAUAGUUUACUAGUAAAGUGAUUGAAUUUUUUUAUAUUAUUUAAAGAAAAAUUUAUUUUUUGUACCUUGUGUAUCAGGGUUAAUUUAUUUUAUUAUUAUUAUUAAUUUUUUUCGAAUUAAGAAGAGCUAAUUAUAUAUAUGUUUAAUUUUUUCAUAAAUUUUCUUUAUAUAUAGUUUGAAAUGAAAUGUUAUUCGUUUCUUAAUAUAUCUAGUUUUUUAAGAAAAGAAUUUAAUUCUCUUAUUAUUUGUUAUUAGUUAAUUUUUAGUUAAUAAUUUUUAGUAUUAAAAAAAUAAAGGGAUAAGCUUUUAUUUUUAUAACUAAAAAUUAAUUUUAUUUGUAUUUUUUGUAUAAUUUGAAUUGUUAAUCAUUUAAAUAAUAUAAUAAUUAAUUUUAUUUAAUUAAUAAUUUAUAUCAAUUUUAGUUUUUAUAUUAAAAAUUUUUGUUUAAUUUUUUAACUUUUUUAUAAUGAUUAAAUUAGUAGAUAAAUUUGUGUAUAAUAAUUAAUUAUUUAGAUAAUAAAAAGGAACUCGGCAAAAUUAAUUUUUCGCCUGUUUAUUAAAAACAUGUCUUUUUGAUUAUAAUUUAAAGUUUAAUCUGCUCAAUGAUUUAUUAAAUUGCCGCAGUAUUUUGACUGUGCAAAGGUAGCAUAAUAAUUAGCUUUUUUAUUGAAAGCUGGAAUGAAUGAUUGGACGAAAAAAUUUCUGUCUCUUUAUUAUUUUUAUUUAAUUUAACUUUUAAGUUAAAAGGCUUAAAUUAUUUUAAAAGACGAGAAGACCCUAUAGAGUUUUAUUUUUAUUUUAUAAAUUAUUUUUAGAAUUUAAAAUAUAUUAUAAAAUAAAAAAUUUAGUUGGGGUGACUAAAAGAUUAAUUUAACUCUUUUAAUUAAAAUCAUUUAUUUAUGAAUAUAAAAUCUAUUUUUAUAAAUUUAAAAUAAAUUACCUUAGGGAUAACAGCGUUAUUUUUCUUUAGAGUUCUUAUUAAAAGGAAAGAUUGCGACCUCGAUGUUGGAUUAAAAUUUAUUUUAGGUGUAGAAGCUUAAUUAUUGAGUCUGUUCGACUUUUAAAAUUUUACAUGAUCUGAGUUUAAACCGGUGUGAGCCAGGUUGGUUUCUAUCUUUAAAUUUUUAAUAUAUUUUAGUACGAAAGGACCAAAUAUAUAAUAAAUUAUUUUUUUUUGAAUAAUAUU